rnacentral:rRNA from 1 species
GAUGAACGCUGGCGGCGUAGCCUAAUACAUGCAAGGUCGAACGGAAGGUAGCAAUACCUUUAGUGGCGAACGGGUGAGUAACGCGUUGGUGACCUGCCCCGAAGCGUGGGAUAACAGUCCGAAAGGAUUGCUAAUACCGCAUGUGGUCCAAGAGACUAGAGGCUUAUGGACUAAAGGAGACAUUCACUUCGGGAGGGCCUGCGUCCCAUCAGCUAGUUGGUAGGGUAACGGCCUACCAAGGCGAUGACGGGUAGGGGACCUGAGAGGGUGGCCCCCCACAAUGGAACUGAAACACGGUCCAUACACCUACGGGUGGCAGCAGUAGGGAAUAUUGCAAAAUGGGCGCAAGCCCGAUGCAGCAACGCCGCGUGGGCGAUGAAGGCCUUCGGGUCGUAAAGCCCUUUUUGAGGGGAUGAGGAAGGACAGUACCCUCAGAAUAAGCCUCGGCUAACUACGUG